GCCUCUUCGGAGACAUCCUAUAAAAUUGGAGCGAUACAUAGAAAAUUAGCAUCGCUCCUGCAAGGUGGUCCGAAUUUUUUUGAGAUUUUGCGCGCCAGUUU